AUGUCGCUUUCAACCGACCUGGCCACAUGGGACCAACGGCAUUUCGGGAAUGUGCGGCGGGAGAUCCAACGCAUGCAGAAGGAACUACAGGAGUUGCGCGCGAUCCCAAAUCGCUCUGGUCCAAAUCACCUGGAAAUUAAAUUAAUUGACAAGUUGACAGAACUUUAUCACAGAGAAGAAAUUUUAUGGCGUCAGCGUGCUCGCCUAGAGUGGCUCCAACACGGCGACAAGAAUACAUAUUUCUUCCACUUAAGGGCGAGCCGGCGUAGGAGGAAAAACCAAAUUAAAUCCCUUCAACUACCUUCUGGACAGAUGACUGACGACCCAACGGAGAUGGAAAACAUGACUAUUGAUUUUUACCAGCAGCUCUAUACUUCGGAAGGAGUCCAGGAUAUGGGCCAGGUUCUAGACACUGUCCCGGUGAAAGUGACACAAGCAAUGAAUGAUAUGCUAAAUGCUCCAUAUAGUCAGAAAGAGGUUAAAACAGCACUUUUUCAAAUGUACCCAGUGAAAGCACCCGGCCCAGAUGGUUAUCCGGCACAUUUUUUCCAGCACCAUUGGGACAUUUGUGGCGAUGAUGUCACAAGGGCAGUUCUGAGGAUUGUUGACGGCACUGAAUCGGCGGAGUGUAUUAAUGAUACGGUUCUUGUGCUUAUCCCGAAGGUAAAAAACCCCACACUCCUCUCACAGUUCCGCCCUAUCAGCCUUUGUAAUGUGCUGUACAAAAUUGCCUCGAAAGUUAUAUCUAACAGAUUAAAGUUAGUCCUUCCUGAUAUCAUCUCAGAGGAGCAGUCAGCCUUUGUUCCUGGCAGAUUCAUAACUGACAACAUCAUAACAGCCUAUGAGUGUCUUCAUUUUAUGAAGAGGAAUAAGGCCAAGAAACAUCAAUCCUGUGCUCUAAAGCUUGAUAUGAUGAAAGCCUAUGAUAGAGUGGAAUGGGACUAUUUACAGGCAAUAAUGCUUAAAUUGGGCUUCUCUGAAAGAUGGGUCCAAAUAGUGAUGAGCCUGGUGACAACUGUGAAAUUUUCAGUGUUGUUUAAUGGAAAGAAACUUCAGCAAUUUAUACCUUCCAGAGGGAUCAGACAAGGGGACCCAAUAUCUCCAUACUUGUUCUUGAUAGCAGCAGAGGGCCUGUCGUGCCUUCUAAAAUCAAAAAGUGAGUCAUCCAACUUGCAUGGCCUACAGGUAGCACCUUCGGCGCCACCGGUAAACCAUCUUCUAUUCGCUGAUGACAGCCCGCUGUUCUUCAAGGCAAAGGAUGGUGGAGCCAAUGAGGUGUACCAUGUUCUGAACACUUAUUGUCAGGCAACAGGCCAACGUAUCAACUACUCUAAGUCAUCUAUAUAUUUUAGCAAGGGAGUUCCAGACUCUAUCAGGCAGGAAAUCAAGAAGAUUCUGAACGUUCCCAACGAAACCCUAAAUGAGAAGUACUUGGGGAUGCCGUCUGAUGUUGGUAGCUCUAAGAACGGUUCGUUCAAGUACUUGAAGGAUCGGCUCUGGGGAAAGGUGCAAGGAUGGAUUGAACGCACGAUGUCCACAGCGGGCAAAAAAGUCCUCGUUAAAUCAGUAGCACAAUCAGUCCCAGUCUUCUCGAUGUCUUGUUUCAAGUUACCUCGGGGCCUCUGUGAGCAUCUAAACAAGCUGAUAAGAAAAUUUUGGUGGGGGACCAAGGAAGGGAAGAGAAAGCCCCAUUGGGUCUCGUGGAAAGCAAUGACCCAACCAAAGGGGAUGGGGGGCCUGGGUUUCAAAGACUUCGAAUUAUUCAACCUUGCAAUGCUCGCUAAACAAGCCUGGCGCCUGCUUCAAAAUCCUGAGUCUCUCAGUGCUCGAGUGCUCAAAAGUGUAUACUAUCCAAAUGCUGAUAUCCCGCAAGCUCAGCUUGGUAACCACCCAAGCCAGAUUUGGCGGGCAAUCAUUGAGGGGAGAGACAUCUUGAAACAAGGUCUGGUUCGGCGGAUUGGAAACGGAGAAACCACGGAAAUCUGGAAUCAUAAUUGGCUACCCAGAGAAGAGUCCUUUAGGCCAUACGGAUGCCGCGUCCUCAACCCACCGACGAGAGUUUCGGAGCUCAUCACGACCGCGACGGCAUCAUGGGACAAACAGCUGAUCCAAACCACUUUCUUGCCAAUGGAUGCUCAAGUGAUUCUCGGAAUCCCUCUGUGCACCCGAAACAUAGAUGAUUUUUGGGCUUGGCACUACGAGAAACAUGGAUCUUUCUCGGUCAAGUCGGCGUAUAAAAUGCUGGUGGCCACUAGGGCAAGACGGGAAGCAUGGCUAGAAGGAGCUGCAGGUCCUUCUAACGCCAGGGCAGAGGAAAAAUCAUGGAAAAUGCUGUGGAAGACCGAAGUCCCAGGGAAAAUCCGAAUGUUCUUAUGGAGGCUCUCAAAACAGUCGCUCCCAACUAACGAUGUUAGAGCACAUCGUCACAUGUCCGACUCCAGUCUAUGUGGCAUCUGCGGGAUACGCGAUUCAUGGCGUCACUCCCUCUUAGAUUGCACAACAUCAAGAAGUGUUUGGGCUUUGGCUAAUACGGAGGUCACGCAUAAAAUCACAUCAAAUAAUGAGCCUCAUGCCAAACAGUGGCUUUUCACAUUGAUGGAGAUGCUAACUCAUGAAGAAUUCGUGGACAUGGCUGUAACACUUUGGGCAAUAUGGCAUGCUCGACGGAAGGCAAUACAUGAAGCUAUUUUUCAGAGUCCCCAAGCGACCCACAGCUUCAUAGAGAGGUAUCUGAAAGACCUGUCUUUGAUCAACACUAAACUGAAUGCUCCACCACGGAAUGCCACCUCUCACCAAGCAAACACGAAGCCAAAAAGACCUCCUGCUGAACAUUGCAAGAUCCAUGUGGACGGGGGAGUGCAAGGAAGAAGAGGCGGAUCAGCAGCUGCAGUUUGCAGAGACCCGGAAGGACAUUUUUUGGGCAGCUCGGCUCUAGUCAUAGAGGGAGUAACCGAUCCGGCCACUCUUGAGGCGAUGGCAUGUCGUGAAGCCCUAGCACUUGCUGAAGAUCUACACAUACAACACUUUGUGUAG
rnacentral:rRNA from 1 species